rnacentral:rRNA from 1 species
CCUACGGGAGGCAGCAGUGGGGAAUAUUGCGCAAUGGGUGAAAGCCUGACGCAGCGACGCCGCGUGAGGGAUGAAGGUCUUCGGAUCGUAAACCUCUGUCAGCAGGGAAGAACGGUCACUGUGCUAAUCAGCAGUGAAUUGACGGUACCUGCAAAGGAAGCACCGGCUAACUCCGUGCCAGCCGCCGCGGUAAUACGGAGGGUGCGAGCGUUAAUCGGAAUUACUGGGCGUAAAGCGCUCGUAGGCGGUAUGUCAAGUCAAGGGUGAAAUCCCCGCGCGCAACGUGGGAACUGCCUUUGAAACUGGCAAAGUGGAGGGUGGGAGAGGAUAGUGGAAUUCGAGGUGUAGGAGUGAAAUCCGUAGAUAUCGGGAGGAACAUCAGUGGCGAAGGCGACUAUCUGGCACAUAACUGACGCUGAGGAGCGAAAGCGUGGGUAGCAAACAGGAUUAGAUACCCUUGUAGUC